rnacentral:rRNA from 1 species
UGCUGUGAGCUCGAUGAGUAGGGCGGGACACGUGGUAUCCUGUCUGAAUAUGGGGGGACCAUCCUCCAAGGCUAAAUACUCCUGACUGACCGAUAGUGAACCAGUACCGUGAGGGAAAGGCGAAAAGAACCCCGGCGAGGGGAGUGAAAAAGAACCUGAAACCGUGUACGUACAAGCAGUGGGAGCACAGGUUUACCUGUGUGACUGCGUACCUUUUGUAUAAUGGGUCAGCGACUUAUAUUCUGUAGCAAGGUUAACCGAAUAGGGGAGCCGUAGGGAAACCGAGUCUUAACCGGGCGUUAAGUUGCAGGGUAUAGACCCGAAACCCGGUGAUCUAGCCAUGGGCAGGUUGAAGGUUGGGUAACACUAACUGGAGGACCGAACCGACUAAUGUUGAAAAAUUAGCGGAUGACCUGUGGCU